AGUCCUCUGGCAGAGCUUGGGCUGGACACUUUUAGGCCCUAGGCUGUAGCCACAGAGCCAGCGAUUCUCCCGCAGAUCCCACGCAGAUCUUUAACACGUAUCGGCUCCCACUCAACGGACGUGACUGAAAUGUGUAGUGUCGAAUAGGUUCUAUUUGAACGGGACCCUGUGUUUCAGCUUCCAUUUAUUCUCCUUUCCUCGGCCUCCUGCACAUUUGGACUUAGCCCGCCCUGCCCAGCCCGGAGAGGGUGUCAUCCAGACCCCGGUGAGGCCCACGGCGGAGCCGAACCUCACCACGUCUCUCCACCGGCAGCGCGAUGAAGACGGGAGGAGUCCGGCUUUAAGGCCGGCCGUAAAUCACGGCGGCAGGCCUCGGUUUCCCUUCAAAAGCCCUCCUCCCGAGUCCGCGUUGGCGCGAGAGAGAAGGCGGCAGGAGGCAGGGAAGCACUGAAUCUGGUUUUUGAAUCUCUCCCAGGCCUCAGUCCAGGCCCCGAAUGACUUGUUCCCAACCGGUUCCAGGCCCCCACCCGUCUGCGAUGCUCCCCAAAACCAAGGUGACGGGGCCAGAACUCCAUUCAGCGGGGCUGAGCCGGUGGCAGCAGGAACCCGCCCUCAAGCUGACCCAGCUAGAGCACCUGAAGAAUGAGUUCCAGCAAAGGCUCCUGCGAGACAAAGAGAAGAAGUUGGAAAGCCUCUUUCCCGACAAAAGGCAGAACAACUUCGCCAAGCCUAGGAGCUUUGCCUAUUCUGCCGGAAGCAACCCGCAAAAUUCGGGACUCCAUCAGCCGGGCCCAGGGAGAGAGGGAUUCGGUUCAGCAGGGUCCCACCCCCGCCUCGCCCAGCCGGACAGCCUGAAGGCUCAGAUUCCUCUUAAUUGGACGGCGAAGAAGCAAGUCGGUGUGGACAGGGCGUAUCCACUGAAGCCCAUGUCUCAUCACCAGGUCGCGAGCGUGAGCCGCGGGGUUGCUAGUAACAGCCGGACUUUCUCCCUGAAGCCUUCUGAUCCCAGAGAUUAUUCAUCCCCCAACCCUGCCUCAAGGAAUUGCGAGAAUUCCUGCCCGGGAAAUUCACCCCUUGUCCCCCUGCCCCCGGUGCCGGCCCAGAAUUUCAAACCCGACCCAAACAGGGCUGAGCUCGUCGAAAUCCGCAGACUAGAAGCGACCGGUGAGCUCUUGCAAGAGGAAAUCCGGAAGAAGGAGGCUCUCCUCAGGGAAACACUGAAGAGGGCCGAGCAGGAGCUUAGGAGGAUGCAGAAAGGGAAAGAACAGGAGGAGGAAGAAGAAGAAGAAGAAAGACGUGUGCCUCAGAGGAAGGGAAUUCCCGGGAGAAGGACGGCGGGUCAGAGAAGCACCGUUUUCAAGUCCGUCUAUUCAUUAGAAGACCAGCCUGAGGAGGGUCUCAGUAAUUACGUGGGCACUAGAGAGGAUGAGAACUGGGGGCGUUAUCCAAGGCAUUUGAGCUCCCUUUCAGGCUUUUCCCAGUUUCCCUCGGAAUACGGAGUCCGGAGGCUCAAAAAAGAGCGACUCGGGGCCGGGAAUGGUAACCGCCGGGACCCGACCUCCUCGGGAUCCGCUUCGCCACCUCAGGCUCCCAGCGGCUCCUUCCCGAACUCCAGCGACGGGAACGGCCCCCAGACCUCGGUCUUCGCGGCCCGCGGCUGUGCGGCCGAAGAAGAGCCGGACCUUGGCCGGUGCAGCUACUGUGGGCGCAGGUUUCUCCUGGCGAGGCUGGAGAGACACGCCAACGCCUGCAGGAAGGCCCGUCGCUCCAAGAGGAAAGUGUUCGAUUCGGCCAAGGCCCGGGCCAAGGGCACGGAUCUGGAGCAGUUUCUCACCUGGAAGGGCCCAGCCCCAGCCAAGGCCGAACCGUCCCGGAAAUGUACCUGGAGACAGAAGCACGACUGUUUUAUCCAGUCCCUCCGCCAAGCUCGGGAAAUGCAGCAGGGCACCGGCAAAGGAGGAAAGCUCCUCAUCCCUCCGGCGGAGCACCCGGACUACGUCGAGUGCCCCCACUGCAGCCGCCGCUUUGCCCCUAACGCAGCCCAGCGGCACAUCCCAAAAUGCAAGAACAUCAAGAACCGUCCCCCUCCCCCGGGAAAACGCUCCUGCUGAGCCACGACGCUUAGAGCGGCUCGUCCUUUGCUUGGCCCACGGGCUCUGAAAAUCCCGAACCCCCCCUGACCCUCCCGGCCGGCCUCCUUUCCCCGAGCGACCGCAGGGAAAGAGACACUCCGUGCUGCUCCUUGGCUCCGGCUCCAGGCAGGCUGCUAAGCGCCUUACAUCAUUCCGCUCCGGAAGAGAAGUCGGAAAGUUACGAGCACCGAAUAGACCCUAUUAAAACCCUCUCAUCUUGGAAAGUCUGACCUGUGACUGUUUUCCCUGCAGCGCUUCGGAGCUUAUAUUGACGACGAGUUGGAGACGCAGAGAGGAAGCCGGCGCUGGAGGAGCACAAUGCCACCAGGUGGCAGUAGAGAGGCGCGGUCGCCCAGAAGCACGAUUUGGGAGAGAAGCAGCGCCGCCUAGUGGACAGAGCGCGGCCCUGCGGGACAGAAACCGCUGGCUUCUAACCCAGUCUCGGCCACUUGACUGCUGCGUGACCUUGGACAGACGAGUUGGAGACGCAGAGAGGAAGCCGGCGCUGGAGGAGCACAAUGCCACCAGGUGGCAGUAGAGAGGCGCGGUCGCCCAGAAGCACGAUUUGGAAGAGAAGCAGCGCCGCCUAGUGGACAGAGCGCGGCCCUGCGGGACAGAAACCGCGGGCUUCUAACCCAGUCUCGGCCACUUGACUGCUGCGUGACCUUGGCAAUAACGAAGGGCCAUAUCCUGGUUGAGAAGAGCUGUUUCUGUGGAGUGAAGUGUGCAGAAACCAAACUGGAGGAGAUCCAGGAGAAAAUUGGAGGAAUGAAAAUGGAGACAGCAAGUGUCGACAACUCGCUCAAGGAGUUUUGCGAGGAAUGGGAGAUGAUUGUUGCUCUGGAUCUAGAGGUAAGGGUUCUGAUGGGGCCGAAACCAUGGGGUGCAUGGGGGUGCAUGCUCACUGUCUCUGAGUGUCUUUGUGUGUCUCUGUCUUUGUCUGUCAUUGAGCUCUCUUCCUGUGCUCUUGCCAGGCCCCAGUUAGCUAGUAUUGCCUACUCAACCAUGAAGUCUUUCAAGCGAGUGACCUUCCACAACCUCAACAUACGACUCUGUGCCUGGAAUGUGCUGGAUUCCAGACACAGUUUCUGCAGGGAUUGUGCAACCCCCCGCUCCAUUAUCCAAAAUGGGGUGCAUCUCCAGCCCCCAUCCACGGAAAACUUGCUCUCUGCUCUCCACUCUCCUCAUUGUAUUCAGCGCCGUGGGUCGGUCCUGAAGCGUCAGAAUGUGAGUCCCCCAGGGGACGGGAACCGAGACCCGCCGAUG